GAUCACAACUAUGCAGCAUGUUUGCCAUCGCAAUUGACACAGUGCAGAGUGUUUUCCCAUGUUUCGGAUGAAUGUUCAUGGGAGCUACAUUUAGCACAUGCCUGUUAGCCUCAGCAGUUGUGUGAACUCUGUCCAUCGCUGGCAUUGGAAGCAUCGCAGAGGAUUUGGAACGUAUGGCCUGACCCGGAUCUUGACGUAACCUGCCUCAAUACUCUUGGGCAGUACACUCGAACCAAAAAACCUGCAGCACAAAACUACUUUCAAUGAAGACGCUACGGUAACUGACCAAGCCAAGGUGAACAAGCACGUUUCGGAGCCCGUACGGGUUUCUUGGUCACAUUAAGGCAAACAAGAGUCGCUCGUUCUUUUUUUGU